UUCAAUAGGCAGUUUAUGUAUUAUACCCUGCCAUUUAGAUUUUCAAGCAUAAUAGAUAUUUUUCAAGCUCUCAUCUUCAAUCUACCUUAAUUACAAUUUCAAAAAACAGUUCUUGAACUGCUAAAGAAACUAUUCAAUUUUUGCACUGUCUUGAUAAAUAGUAUGCUGAUCUGCAACAGUUUCUCUCUCACAGAUAACAUCUCAAAUUAUCACUUAACUGUGAUCAACUUCUACAUACUAAUUUAUUAAACAUCCUUCAUCACUAAAACAAGCAUAAAAAUAAUAGUAGAUAUGAAUUGUGGCAUGAAUUGCUUCUGGAAUUUUGCCUAAGAAAUUUUUAUGAUGACAGUAACAUAAGGAUAAUUGUGUGAUCAAAUAAAUAGACCAAUUCUGGUCAUUAUAAGUUUUUCCCAUGAUGAGGUGUGAGGAAGUGUCAUAAUGGUGCUAACAUUGUCAUAAGACUGGCAAAGACUAGACAUUCAUGGAACAUCUUCAGUGUUAGUACCUACUUUCGGCUGCUAGAGCAGAUUCUGUAGCUCAUUCUAACAAUACACUGAAUUAUAUUCCAAAUAUGGGUUACUGGAAUGGGACAAAGCGCUGAAACAUAGUGGCUAUGUUUAUUUGAAGAUUCUUCAUGCUUCAUAUUACAUUCCAACUAUAGCAGGAGAAAUAUGACAAGCUUGUAUUUUGAUACAAGGCAAAAACAUAUCAAAUGCUAAGAAGUCCAGCAGGUUACAUGAUUGAACAAAAAAUAUCAGCUCAUUCAUUGGGUUAAUAACUUAAAACAAGAAAAAAUAAAUAUUCUCUCAUCAGUAUUGUUCUUGAUUCAAUAUGAAUCUUAACUCCCUUUAGCCUCCCCUGCAAAAGUAGAGGAAAGGAUGAAAGAGGAAAAAAAAAAAAGGUAUCUGUUCCAA